ensembl:lincRNA
CUCUGAUAUCCUCCGGCUUCCCGGUGAACUGAAAGGGGGCGCAACCUAAGAAUUCACCACCACGUGGUGCAGGGUAGAAAAUGGAGGCUUUUCUAGAAUGUUCUGGGACCUUCUCUGUGGGAUACGGAUUCCUCGUUCUCCCUCAGCACUUAUUGCGGCCUAAAUCAGCCCAGGGUGUAGAAAACCAGGUCAAGAGGUCUUUAUUAAAGCAAAAGGCGGCUCAGACACUUCAGAUGGAAAGAAAACUAUAAGAAACUGGAAUGCACAUUGAACCACACAGCAUAAGAACACAAGGAGAAUUAGUGGAAGGCCUUUUUCUCAAACGUGGUCCACACACAAGGUGCCCAACAGACUAUGAAGGCUUCAAAGACUCCUAUAAGAGGGUAUGGAAAAAACCCAUCUUUCCCAAAGGAACCACCUCCUGCAAAACCAGGAAAUGGAGAGGAUCAACACAACGCUGUUAUUUCUACCAAUUUGAAUGACAAAUACUAUCAGCAUGAGUCAGAGCAGGACCAGGAGAGCACAGGGAGCUCUAUGACUUGAACUGAAGACCUGGGAAGCCUAUGACAUGAGUAGGGAGAGACACCUUAGGUCUAUCCCUGGAAUUGCCACAGGUCAGGUCCCUGGGAAAUGAACAACAAGGUAUACAGUAAACUUUGUCCUAACCUGUGUACAAGUGUGAUGAAAAUAAAAUCAAAAGCAGA